CCUACGGGUGGCAGCAGUGGGGAAUAUUGGGCAAUGGGCGCAAGCCUGACCCGGCACCGCCGCGUGAAGGAAGAAGGCUUUCGGGUUGUAAACCUCUUUUAAGGGGGAAGAGCAGAAGACGGUACCCCUUGAAUAAGCCACGGCUAACUACGUGCCAGCAGCCGCGGGAAUACGUAGGUGGCAAGCGUUGUCCGGAUUUACUGGGUGUAAAGGGCGUGCAGCCGGAGGGACAAGUCAGAUGUGAAAUCCACGGGCUCAACCCGGGAACUGCUUUUGAAACUGUUUCCCUUGAGUGUCGGAGAGGUAAUCGGAAUUCCUUGUGUAGCGGUGAAAUGCGUAGAUAUAAGGAAGAACACCAGUGGCGAAGGCGGAUUACUGGACGAUAACUGACGGUGAGGCGCGAAAGCGUGGGGAGCAAACAGGAUUAGAUACCCUAGUAGUC
rnacentral:rRNA from 1 species